rnacentral:rRNA from 1 species
AUGAACGCUAGCUACAGGCUUAACACAUGCAAGUCGAGGGGCAUCAGGAAGAAAGCUUGCUUUCUUUGCUGGCGACCGGCGCACGGGUGAGUAACACGUAUCCAACCUGCCCUUUACUCGGGGAUAGCCUUUCGAAAGAAAGAUUAAUACCCGAUGGCAUAAUGAUUCCGCAUGGUUUCAUUAUUAAAGGAUUCCGGUAAAGGAUGGGGAUGCGUUCCAUUAGGUUGUUGGUGAGGUAACGGCUCACCAAGCCUUCGAUGGAUAGGGGUUCUGAGAGGAAGGUCCCCCACAUUGGAACUGAGACACGGUCCAAACUCCUACGGGAGGCAGCAGUGAGGAAUAUUGGUCAAUGGGCGCUAGCCUGAACCAGCCAAGUAGCGUGAAGGGUGAAGGCUCUAUGGGUCGUAAACUUCUUUUAUAUAAGAAUAAAGUGCAGUAUGUAUACUGUUUUGUAUGUAUUAUAUGAAUAAGGAUCGGCUAACUCCGUGCCAGCAGCCGCGGUAAUACGGAGGAUCCGAGCGUUAUCCGGAUUUAUUGGGUUUAAAGGGAGCGUAGGUGGACUGGUAAGUCAGUUGUGAAAGUUUGCGGCUCAACCGUAAAAUUGCAGUUGAUACUGUCAGUCUUGAGUACAGUAGAGGUGGGCGGAAUUCGUGGUGUAGCGGUGAAAUGCUUAGAUAUCACGAAGAACUCCGAUUGCGAAGGCAGCUCACUGGACUGCAACUGACACUGAUGCUCGAAAGUGUGGGUAUCAAACAGGAUUAGAUACCCUGGUAGUCCACACAGUAAACGAUGAAUACUCGCUGUUUGCGAUAUACAGUAAGCGGCCAAGCGAAAGCAUUAAGUAUUCCACCUGGGGAGUACGCCGGCAACGGUGAAACUCAAAGGAAUUGACGGGGGCCCGCACAAGCGGAGGAACAUGUGGUUUAAUUCGAUGAUACGCGAGGAACCUUACCCGGGCUUAAAUUGCAGUGGAAUGAUGUGGAAACAUGUCAGUGAGCAAUCACCGCUGUGAAGGUGCUGCAUGGUUGUCGUCAGCUCGUGCCGUGAGGUGUCGGCUUAAGUGCCAUAACGAGCGCAACCCUUAUCUUUAGUUACUAACAGGUCAUGCUGAGGACUCUAGAGAGACUGCCGUCGUAAGAUGUGAGGAAGGUGGGGAUGACGUCAAAUCAGCACGGCCCUUACGUCCGGGGCUACACACGUGUUACAAUGGGGGGUACAGAAGGCAGCUAGCGGGUGACCGUAUGCUAAUCCCAAAAUCCUCUCUCAGUUCGGAUCGAAGUCUGCAACCCGACUUCGUGAAGCUGGAUUCGCUAGUAAUCGCGCAUCAGCCACGGCGCGGUGAAUACGUUCCCGGGCCUUGUACACACCGCCCGUCAAGCCAUGGGAGCCGGGGGUACCUGAAGUACGUAACCGCAAGGAUCGUCCUAGGGUAAAACUGGUGACUGGGGCU